UUUCAUGUCUUUCCAGUUUCUUCAACAGGUUCUCUCCUUGCUCCAAUCCUUUCACUCCCAGUUGACCUUUUUGAUUCAGAAGCUUCAUUUGCCUGUUGGCGAGAAAUGGCUCGACGAAUACAUGGAUGAAAGCUCCAGGCUCUGGGAGGCCUGCCACAUACUGAAAUCAGGGGUAUGCAACAUGGAGAACUACUACUCUGCUGGAACCAAUAUUGCUUCUUCUCUUGAUGAUCAUGCUAUUUUAAACAUGCAACUUUCCCGCCAGGUUAGUCUCUUGAUGAUCAUGCGAUUUCUUUAAACCAGUGAAAAAACUUUUUGUUUGAUCAAAUAUUUUAGAUACCUGCGUGGUUAAAAACAUAAGAUACAAUUUGAAGUGUUCUAAUGAGUUGUUUGUUGGAUAGGUAUUUCGAGCACUCACCGGUUGCCAAAGGGAAAUAGUGGCAUUGGAAGAGGAAAACAAGAGCUUGAUGGAAUCAAGGGCCCAACAUCUAGCAUUGAGGUUCGAUGAAAACGUGCUGAUUGAAUCAAAGUUCAAUGGGUUCACCGGAUUUCGAGG
rnacentral:lncRNA from 1 species